GUCCUUUAAAAAACGAUAUAUAAUGUGUGUCGGUGCAAUAAAUUAGUAAAAUGCAAAUUGCAGUUGAACGCAAACCGCAAAAAAUGAAACAAAUGCUGUUGAGCUUCUGAAGCUCUGUCCUUAAGGGGUUAAAAUGGAAUGAGGCAAAAAUGUGAUUCUUAAACUAAUUUGCAUAUGCCCACCCAGAAUCCUUUGCGGUUGUAAUAUCACUGCAGAUUUGUGAUUUCUGUGGGAAAAGCAAGUCUUAUGGCUUGACUGGUGUGCAGAUUUUUGUUUAACCCCUUAAGGACCAAACUUCUGGAAUAAAAUGGAAUCAUGACAUGCCACACAUGUCAUGUGUCCUUAAGGGGUUAACAAUGUAUUAACUAUCCACAGACUUCAGGUGGAAGGGGUUUUCAAUCACAAUUUUUCCCCACCAUAACCUAUUUG